GCAGCUCAGGUCUCCUGGCUCCCCAUACUGGCCGCCGAUAUUUGGAGUUCUUACAACAUGGCAGACAUUGACAAUCUGAACUUCAUCAAGAUUUGGAUGAUGUUGAAGAAGUAAAAGAAGAAGAAACUAGUGAAGAAACAAAAAUCAAAGCAUGUCAGCUAACUGUUCAGAUGAUGCAAAAUCCUCAGAUUCUUGCAGCCCUUCGAGAAAGACUUGAUGGUCUGGUAGAAACACCAACAGGAUAUAUUGAAAGCCUGCCUAGGGUAGUUAAAAGACGAGUGAAUACUCUCAAAAACCUGCAAGUUAAAUUAAAUGUGCACAGAUAGAAACCAAAUGCUAUGAGGAAGUUCACAAUCUUGAAAGGAAGUAUGCUGUUCUCUAUCAGCCUCUACUUGAUACACGAUUUGAGAUUAUUAAUGCAAUUGAUGAACCCACGGAAGAAGAAUGUGAAUGGAAAUCAAAUAAAGAAGAUGAGAUUUCAGAGGAGUUGAAAGAAAAGGCCAAGAUCGAAGAUGAGAAAAAGGAUGAAGAAAAAGAAGACCCCAAAGGAAUUCCUGAAUUUUGGUUAACUGUUUUUAAGAAUGUUGACUUGUUCAGUGAUAUGGUUCAGCAACAUGAUGAACCUAUUCUGAAACACUUGAAAGAUACUCAAGUGAAGCUCUCAGCUGCUGGCCAGCCUAUGAGUUUUGUCUUAGAGUUUCACUUUGAACCCAAUGACUAUUUUACAAAUGAAGUGCUAACAACAGGAUGAGGUCAGAACCAGAUGAUUUUGAUCCCUUUUCUUUUGAUGGACCAGAAAUUAUGGGUUGUACAGAGGGCCAGACAGAUUGGAAAAAAGGAAAGGAUGUCACUUUGAAAACUAUUAAGAAGCAGCAUAAAAACAAGGGAAGCGGGACAGUUCGUACUGUGACUAACACAGUUUCCAGUGACUCUUUCUUUAAUUUUUUUGCCCCUCCUGAAGUUCCUGAGAGUGGAGAUGAUGCACAGACCUCAAAAAUAGGUCACUUUUUACGUGAGUGUAAAUCCUAAGAUCAGUGUCAUACUUGACUGGAGAAGCUAUUGAAGUUGAUGAUGGUGUUUAUGAUGAAGAAGGUGAAGAAGCAGACGAGGUAAUGUUUACCAAAUGA